rnacentral:lncRNA from 1 species
GGAUUAGGUUAUGAACUGUGGUGGAGUUGACCUCCCCAGGACCUUUGAGUGUCCAAAGAGAAACUAGGGAUUGUUGAGGAGGAAGAAGUGAAGGAGGAAAGGAAUACUAUGAAAGUAACAAAAAAAGAACUUGGUGUAAGCAUCUUAAUUCUGGUUACAGUUAUGACUAUUUACAAAUUUUAAACAGUGCCUUGAUUAAAUUUCAGACAGAGAAGACUGCUUUAUCAACUAGAAGAUGGAAGAAAUCUUGAGAUGAUGAAGUCACAGAUGUGAAAGCAUGUAAAAUUAUAAAGCUCUGGCAAGAGAGACUGAGAAUAGAGGUAUGGAUUGGGGGAGGGCAACAUUUCCUAACACGCAUAUAAAAAUUAUGU